GAUGAGAACGCAGCGAAAUGCGAUAAGUAGUGUGAAUUGCAGAAUUCAGUGAAUCAUCGAAUCUUUGAACGCACAUUGCGCCCUUUGGUAUUCCUUAGGGCAUGCCUGUUCGAGCGUCAUUUAAACCUUCAAGCUAAGCUUGGUGUUGGGUGACUGUCCGCUUCACUGCGGACUCGCCUCAAAAUUAUUGGCGGCCGGUACAUUGGCUUCGAGCGCAGCAGAAACGCGAACUCGGGCCCGUCGUAUUGGCUCCCAGAAGCUAUCUUCACAAUUUUGACCUCGGAUCAGGUAGGGAUACCCGCUGAACUUAAGCAUAUCAAUAAGCGGAGGA
rnacentral:misc_RNA from 1 species